rnacentral:rRNA from 1 species
AGGCGCCCAAAGGUUCCCUCAGAAUGGUUGGAAAUCAUUCGCAGAGUGUAAAGGCACAAGGGAGCUUGACUGCGAGACCUACAAGUCGAGCAGGGACGAAAGUCGGGCUUAGUGAUCCGGUGGUUCCGCAUGGAAGGGCCAUCGCUCAACGGAUAAAAGCUACCCCGGGGAUAACAGGCUUAUCUCCCCCAAGAGUCCACAUCGACGGGGAGGUUUGGCACCUCGAUGUCGGCUCAUCGCAUCCUGGGGCUGUAGUCGGUCCCAAGGGUUGGG